GGAUGCGAUCAUACCAGCACUAAAGCACCGGAUCAAAUCAGAACUCUGAAGUUAAGCGUGCUUGGGUGAGAGUAGUACUAGGAUGGGUGACCUCUUGGGAAGUCCUCAUGUUGCUUUCC
rnacentral:rRNA from 2 species